rnacentral:rRNA from 1 species
UGAUUUCUUCGGAAUGAAAGCCUAGUGGCGAAAGGGUGAGGAAUACAUCGAUCAUCUACCCUCGGGACCGGGACAACAGCUGGAAACGGCUGCUAAUACCGGAUCGUCCAGAAAUGGUAAAGGUGGGGACCUUCGGGCCUGCCGCCUGAGGAGGAGUCGAUGCCCUAUCAGCUUGUUGGCGGGGUAACGGCCCACCAAGGCUUAGACGGGUAGCCGGACUGAGAGGUUGACCGGCCACACUGGGACUGAGACACUGCCCAGACUCCUACGGGAGGCUGCAGUCGAGAAUCUUCCGCAAUGGGCGAAAGCCUGACGGAGCGACGCCGCGUGGAGGAAGAAGGCCUUCGGGUUGUAAACUCCUGUCACACGUUAUGAACAAGCCUGAAUUAAUACUUCAGGCCCUGACGUAAGCGUGAAAGGAAGUCACGGCUAACUUCGUGCCAGCAGCCGCGGUAAGACGAAGGUGACAAACGUUGCUCGGAAUUACUGGGCAUAAAGAGCGCGUAGGUGGCUUGGUAAGCGGAGAAUGAAAUCCCAUGGCUCACCCAUGGAACUGUUCUUCGAACUGCCUUGCUUGAGGACGGGAGGGGGAAGUGGAAUUCCUGGUGUAGCGGUGAAAUGCGUAGAUAUCAGGAGGAACGCCGGUGGCGAAAGCGACUUCCUGGCCCGUUCCUGACACUGAGGCGCGAAAGCUAGGGGAGCAAACAGGAUUAGAUACCCUGGUAGUCCUAGCUGUAAACGAUGGGCACUGGGUAGAGGGGGCGUCGAUACCUUCUCUGCCGUAGCUAAUGUGUUAAGUGCCCCGCCUGGGGAGUAC